rnacentral:misc_RNA from 1 species
GCGAACCUCUCAACCGCCUUGCGCGGAUUGGACCGUGGCCGUCUGUUGGCGAGAGCCGACUCGGCCAAAAUGGACGCGGAGCGCGACCGUGCAGCCGCGACGACCGAGCGUUGUAGACCCCUCGCUUGGUGGCGCGGAGCGCGGACUCCCCGGAUUCUCAACUCGACCUCAAAUCAGGCAAGAUUACCCGCUGAACUUAA